rnacentral:rRNA from 1 species
UUUUWCAAAAACAUCUCUUCUUGUGAAUUUUUUGAAGUAUAGUCUGCCCACUGAUUUUAUUGAAGGGCCGCGGUAUUUUGACCGUGCAAAGGUAGCAUAAUCAUUAGUCCUUUAAUUGUGGACUGGUAUGAAUGGCUUGACGAGACACUAUCUGUCUUUUUUAGGUUUUGUUGAAUUUGGAUUUUGGGUAAAAAUACCUAAAUUUUGUUGUGGGACGAGAAGACCCUAUAGAGUUUUAUGUAGUUUUUUUUUCUUUGGUUUGAUUUAGUUUUAUUAAGUUUUACUGCAUUUUGUUGGGGUGAUGGGAAAAUAAUUGAACUUUUCCUUUUUUCAAUUCACUUAUUUGUGUUUCUAUGAUCCUUUAUUAUUGAUUGUAAGAUUAAAUUACCUUAGGGAUAACAGCGUAAUCUUUUUUGAGAGUUCUUAUUGACAAAAGGGUUUGCGACCUCGAUGUUGGAUUAGGAUGAAUUUUUGGCGUAGAGGCUUUAUGAAUUAAUUAGGUCUGUUCGACCUUUAAAAUCUUACGUGAUCUGAG